rnacentral:lncRNA from 1 species
AGUAAAGAGCCAACAGAAAUUGCUUUGAAUCCAUUCCUUCAAAUGUGGUAAAGAUACUUUAUUCCAACAGGAGCUGAAUUUCAGAUUAAACGUGCAACUGAGGUUGGUAAGAAUACUUUGACUUACUGGAAGUAAGAGGUAUUUAUCACAGCUGCUGUUCUGGAAUUCAGCCACGAUUCAUCCUUAGGAGGAGCCAAGUCCAAACUCCAAAGACCGGGAGCUGACUUAAAGUUCUUUACUGGAGUCUGCAUGCUUUGAUACACAUACUUGUGCUGCUUUUAAGAGAACAAUUGGCUUUGAUCUCUUCUGAGGUAAAAGACUGUGCAGAAUCAGCUGUAUUUCCAGAAGCAGCAAAGGACAAAGUGAAUUUUUAGUUACAGUCUACAUAACAGAAUUUUUGUAGGUGACAUAACAUGAUCACAAAAUAACUUAAAACUAUGUUUACAGUGUGCACUCAAAACAUAUUCCUGUGUUGAUGAUACAUUUGGAAAAUGAAUAGAAUUUAGAUCACUUUCUUUUUGAAGCACUUACUCCUAAAGUGCUUUGACAAAUUCAUUUGACUAAAUGAUAUAAUACAGAUGCAAGGAGGCAAUGCAAGACUUCUUCAGAUGAUUUUAC